rnacentral:rRNA from 1 species
CACGGAGGGGGCUAGCGUUGCUCGGAAUCACUGGGCGUAAAGGGUGCGUAGGCGGGUCUUUAAGUCAGGGGUGAAAUCCUGGAGCUCAACUCCAGAACUGCCUUUGAUACUGAAGAUCUUGAGUUCGGGAGAGGUGAGUGGAACUGCGAGUGUAGAGGUGAAAUUCGUAGAUAUUCGCAAGAACACCAGUGGCGAAGGCGGCUCACUGGCCCGAUACUGACGCUGAGGCACGAAAGCGUGGGGAGCAAACAGG